UCAUGAUGGUUAUGUAUGAAGGAAGGAAGAUAAGUUUGGAUAAGAGAAUUGUGGGUAAAAGUAUAAGAAUGGUGGAUAAAGGACUAUUCAAAACGUUAGGACCGAAAAUGAAAGUUUGUUCAAAUUGAAGAUUCGAAAAACUUAUUUAGGAACCAAGAAAUAGGAUGUAAUAUGCCAUGUGAAUAGGAAAGAAUUUAUAUCAAGGAUACGGAAAAGUGAAGAAUUGUUGGAAUCAAGGAAUAAGGGAUCUGAAAAGAAAGUUUGUGGAAUUUUAGAGGAAGGUAGCACUCGAAUAAAAGGAUUUGCUUAAUUGGUUGGUGAUAAGGCAAAGUUAAAUUCUAUUUGGUCUAUAAGUUCGUUAAUGGACAAUCUUUUGGGUAUUUUUAGUUUGUGAUGGUUAUGUAUGUAAGGAAGGAAGGAAGAUAAGUUUGGAUAAGAGAAUUGUGGGUAAAAGCAUGAGAAAGGUGGAUAAAAGACUAUUCAAAACGUUAGAACCGAAAAUGGAAGAUUGAACCAAUUGGAGAUUCGAAAAGCUUAGUUUGGAACCAAGAAAUAGGAUGUCAGAUGCCAUGAGAAGUAGGAAAGAAUUUCUAUCAAGGAUAUGGAAAAGUGAAGAAUUGUUGGAAUCAAGGAAUAAGGGAGAUCAAAAGAAAGUUUGUGGAAUUUUAGAGGAAGGAAGCACUCUUAUAAAAGGAUUUGCUUAAUUGGUUGGUGAUAAGGCAAAGUUAAAUUCUAUUUGGUCUAUAAGUUCGUUAAUGGACAAUCUUUUGGAUAUUUUUAGUUUUCGAUUGUUAUGUAUGUAAGGAAGGAUGGAAGAUAAGUUUGGAUA